rnacentral:rRNA from 1 species
UCAUGGCUCAGGAUGAACGCUGGCGGCGUGCCUAAUACAUGCAAGUCGAACGGGGGUAGCAAUACCCUAGUGGCGAACGGGUGAGUAACACGUAGGUAACCUGCCUUUAGAUUGGGAUACCCGAAGGAAACUUUGGCUAAUACCGGAUAAUAACAACCGAGGCAUCUCGGAUGUUUGAAAGGGGCCUUUAAAGCCCCACUAAAAGAUGGACCUGCGGCGCAUUAGCUAGUUGGUGAGAUAACAGCCCACCAAGGCGAGGAUGCGUAGCCGAACUGAGAGGUUGAUCGGCCACAUUGGAACUGAGACACGGUCCAAACUCCUACGGGAGGCAGCAGUAAGGAGUUUUCGGCAAUGGGGGAAACCCUGACCGAGCAACGCCGCGUGAGUGAUGACGGCCCCCUAUGGGUUGUAAAGCUCUGUUAUAAGGGACGAACAGCUUUGCGAGGAGAUGCGCAGAGUCUGACGGUACUUUGUCAGAAAGCCACGGCUAACUACGUGCCAGCCGCUGC